UGAGCAGCUCCUAAGGUAGUGAACUUCACAUGGUUGGGGACAGUACAGAGGACAUCAUUUACCAGAGAUCUUUUUCAGAGGGUUCUGUGAGAGUCGUGUUGCUCCCACUGAUCCUCUGCUCUUCCCUGAGCUGUGGAUGGAAGCGGUGCCUGGCUGGGUGCUGCGUCCCACCGCUGCUUUUGAAGUGCUUUCUGAUCCUAACUACAACUCAACCCAGCUCUGUGAGAGAGCCAAGCGUGAUAUUACCUGCUUUACUGAAGCUCGAGGUGUGGCCCAGCGCAUAAAGGCUUGUAUUGGGGAUCUGCACAGGGACUCUGGCUCUCCUGCUUCACCUCAAGUCAGACUGCUGUGGUGAUGUUUAUUUAUUUAUCCCUUUGGUACUGACCAGAUGAGAAGAGGAAGGGAGACUCCUUGAGGCUUCUCUAGCUCCGACACCAUCUGAGGCUUCAGAAAUGUGGGUUUCAGCUGCGCUUGAUGCAAGUUACUGAAAACUGGCAAACCAGCCUGUAAGCCAGCACAACGCAGCCACAAGUUUGGCAACAAAUUCCUGCUGCCAGAUGCCUUUGCUGUUCCUUUAGCUUUCUAUGGAUUCAAGGCACUUCACUCUCUUUUGUUGUUGGAAAUGCUUUCAAAGUAGAACACAGUGUUUUGGGUUGUCUAGCCAAAGUUUAGCUGUCCUUUUGCAUCUUUGCCAAACUUCCUGUUUUCAACAAAAACAAUUUAUUAUCUCGCUGGUUCUUUAGACCUGAAAGGAUUUGCAAGCACAAAUAAACUUCUGUUUUUUUUCUCUUUUUCAUGGCCUUUCAGAGAAUAAACUCGCUUGCUUCCUCUCAAUUAUGUGGUGUAUACUAGCAAAGAGAAGUAUUUAACCUUUGGACUGC